rnacentral:rRNA from 1 species
UACGUAGGAGGCGAGCGUUGUCCGGAAUUACUGGGUGUAAAGCGUGCGCAGGCGGUUUUGUAAGCCAGAUGUGAAAUCCCCGGGCUUAACCUGGGAAUGGCGAUGGAGACUGCAAGGCUGGAGUUUGGCAGAGGGGGGUAGAAUUCCACGUGUAGCAGUGAAAUGCGUAGAGAUGUGGAGGAACACCGAUGGCGAAGGCAGCCCCCUGGGUCAAAACUGACGCUCAUGCACGAAAGCGUGGGGAGCAAACAGG